UGAAGGGUUGGGAUAUGAAACUGAAAGGUUGGGAUAUGAAACUGAAAGGUUGGGAUAUGAAACUGAAAGGUUGGGAUAUGAAACUGAAAGGUUGGAAUAUGAAACUGAAAGGUUGGGAUAUGAAACUGAAGGGUUGGAAUAUGAAACUGAAAGGUUGGGAUAUGAAACUGAAAGGUUGGGAUAUGAAACUGAAAGGUUGGGAUAUGAAACUGAAAGGUUGGGAUAUGACUUUGCUAGCGGCAGAAGCGAUGCUAAAGUUUACCCCCCGUAGUGUGACAAACACUGGCUUGCGUCCCCAAAAACGGCACCCUAUUCCCCAUACAAAGUGCACAAAUUUUGAGCAAAGUCAAUAUGAGUGCACACUUCAUAGGGAAUAUAGGGUGCCGUUUUGGGACAGAGUCAUUAUAACACGUUGAGUGGCGGUCUGUUAUGGGGCUGCUAGCAGAAACCUGGAGAGACUAUCUGUUCACAUCAGCCCUCGGUCCUGCUCCUCUUUUUUCCCCGGUAAAGUCAUUAUUAAGUUAGUGAGAUGGGCUGAUGUCACGGUCUGUGAGGGAUUUGUGUGAGAGUGUGUGGCUUCUCAGCAACACCGAGGAGCUGAUGGUGGACUACAGUAAACGGAGGGUUGAGCACGUCCCCUCAUCCUCACCGACGGGGUUGUAGUGGAGCCCGGGGGUUGAGAGCUUCAAGUUCCUCGUUGUCCACAACACUAAGGAUCUAUCUUGGUACAAACACACCAACACAGUUGUGAGGAGGGCACGACAACGCCUCUUCUCCCUCAGGAGGCUGAAAAGAUCCUCAAAAAGUUCUACAGUUGCACCAUUGAGAGCAUCUUGACUGGCUGCAUCACCGCCUGGUACGGCAACUGCUUGGCAUCUAACCGUAAGGUACUACAGUGGGUAGUGUGUACUGCCCAGGUCACCACUGGGUCCAAGCUUCCUGCCAUCCAGGACCUCUAUACCAGGCGGUGUCAGAGGAAGGCUCAAAACAUUGUCAUAGACUGUUCUCUCUGCUACUGCAUGGCACUACACCACUGGGUCCAGUCUUCCUGCCAUCCAGGACCUCUAUACCAGGCGGUGUCAGAGGAAGGCAGUCAUAGACUGUUCUCUCUGCUACCGCAUGGCACUACACCACUGGGUCCAGUCUUCCUGCCAUCCAGGACCUCUAUACCAGGCGGUGUCAGAGGAAGGCAGUCAUAGACUGUUCUCUCUGCUACCGCAUGGCACUACACCACUGGGUCCAGUCUUCCUGCCAUCCAGGACCUCUAUACCAGGCGGUGUCAGAGGAAGGCAGUCAUAGACUGUUCUCUCUGCUACCGCAUGGCACUACACCACUGGGUUCAAUCUUCCUGCCAUCCAGGACCUCUAUACCAGGCGGUGUCAGAGGAAGGCAGUCAUAGACUGUUCUCUCUGCUACCGCAUGGCACUACACCACUGGGUUCAAUCUUCCUGCCAUCCAGGACCUCUAUACCAGGCGGUGUCAGAGGAAGGCAGUCAUAGACUGUUCUCUCUGCUACCGCAUGGCACUACACCACUGGGUCCAGUCUUCCUGCCAUCCAGGACCUCUAUACCAGGCGGUGUCAGAGGAAGGCAGUCAUAGACUGUUCUCUCUGCUACCGCAUGGCACUACACCACUGGGUCCAGUCUUCCUGCCAUCCAGGACCUCUAUACCAGGCGGUGUCAGAGGAAGGCAGUCAUAGACUGUUCUCUCUGCUACCGCAUGGCACUACACCACUGGGUUCAAUCUUCCUGCCAUCCAGGACCUCUAUACCAGGCGGUGUCAGAGGAAGGCAGUCAUAGACUGUUCUCUCUGCUACCGCAUGGCACUAUACCACUGGGUUCAAUCUUCCUGCCAUCCAGGACCUCUAUACCAGGCGGUGUCAGAGGAAGGCAGUCAUAGACUGUUCUCUCUGCUACCGCAUGGCACUACACCACUGGGUCCAGUCUUCCUGCCAUCCAGGACCUCUAUACCAGGCGGUGUCAGAGGAAGGCAGUCAUAGACUGUUCUCUCUGCUACCGCAUGGCACUAUACCACUGGGUCCAGUCUUCCUGCCAUCCAGGACCUCUAUACCAGGCGGUGUCAGAGGAAGGCAGUCCUAGACGGCAUGGCAUUGUUACCGGUGCACUGAGACUGUUCGUCUACACCUGUUGUU